rnacentral:piRNA from 1 species
UGGUCUCAAACCAUUUAUUUCUCCCGACC